rnacentral:lncRNA from 1 species
AAAGGCUGGCCAGGCCGCCCCCAGCACGUAGAGGGAAUGAGUCAGGCUCCGGCUCCACACUGGCACGUAGUGGGCGGAUCGCGCCGGCGCUGAGUAGGAAGGAGCUUCAGCCGCCAGCCCGGAACGCAUCAUAGGUUAGCUUUUCAAGACACUUCCUGCAUCUCUGACCUGUUGCACCUCUGUUAUCUUGGCACCUCUGUUAUCUUAGCAGCAAGCACCUGCCUCAGCUGACCCUUGAGCCAUAACCCAUAGGGCUUAUUCCAAAGGGCCAGUGUGCAAAAUAUGAAUCCAAGAUGGCAUUGUGGAAAGACGCUGUACCUCCUGUGAUAAAAUUACUUUGGUGGUGCUUUUUUCUCAUGUAUCUCGGGAAACUAAAAAUCUGAAUUGUAUUCAGUGGCCUUUUCCAAAUGAAGCUCCUGAAAAGUACAUCAAGUCUAAAGUGAACCAGCUAACUCAUUAAGACUGGAAUCAUGAGCAACAAUGGAGCAGACCUAACCUUUGGUUACAUCUCCUGUUUUGUAGCUAUCCUUUUGUUUGGCUCAAAUUUUGUGCCACUUAAAAAAUUUGAUACUGGUGAUGGAAUGUUUCUCCAGUGGGUUCUUUGUGCUGCCAUAUGGUUGGUUGCCUUGGUUGUCAAUCUGAUAUUACAUUGUCCAAAGUUUUGGCCUUUUGCAAUGCUUGGGGGCUGCAUUUGGGCAACAGGGAACAUUGCUGUUGUCCCAAUUAUCAAA